UAUGAAGACAUUUGAUUUAUUAAUUAUAGAGUGGAUUCAAAUUCAUUACAAUUUACAAGCCAUUGGGUUCGCCCAAGUGGUGAGGGAGAGAAGGUUAUCAUGUUAGACUUAAACAUCUAGGAUUCAAUUCCCUCCAAUGUAUAAGCAAUUAAAUAUUACUUUUCAAGUACUUCCCAUUAGUACACGUAGGUGCCUAAAAUGCCUAGUAGUCAAGCUUAGCAUGACUGCCUUCAACAGUGGAUAUCUACUGCAAGAUGUCAGCAUCCAAAUACCAAAGAGUAACGUGUGACCUCAUAAGGCUAAGCCUUCAAACAAAAGAAGGUUAAUGAGCAAAGCAAAUAGGACCCAUCUUCACGAGAACAACAUUUCACCUUCAAAGAAUAGUCUGCCAUCAGUUUCCCUCUGUGAACCUGAAGUGUACGGAAGAUAGUUUCCCAUUUGAUUUUUAUGUUCUUCCCGUGAUCUCAUAUAAAGUAUAUGAAACUGGUACGGCUCUUUGUGAUGAUGAGAAUUGGGAGCAUAUAUAAACUCAUUGUCAGGCAAGUGAUCAGCUCAUUAUCGAUCAAACCAAUUGAAGCUAGCAUUUACGAAGCUUUCUCUCUAUCGUAUAUAUAUUUUGUUAGAGCCUGCAGAAAAAUCAUGUCAGUUUCAUUAGAAGCUUUAGCAAUGGCUGGUACAGACUACCGUUCAAUUGCUAUGACUGUGGAAGAAUGGGAGCGCUGCGACUUGGAGCUGUCUCCUCCACAUUUACUAGCGGAAGAUGAAGAAGAAAAAGAUGAGAGACAAUUCGAGGAACAAGUAAUGGGAAAAGAAACUAAGAAAGGAAGAGAAGGAGGAAAUUUCCCAACGCCCAUUUCCUGCUGAUCCAGCACUCAGAAGAUUUUAAUCUCCCUUGUUAGGAUGAUAUAUCGAAUUUCAGCCUGGUUUCGCUACAGAUCAACGAGAAAUUAUGACAGCUGCCCCAGGGAGUUGCAAUCUUGUACUAUUUCACAUACAUACAUACUGUUGCUAUGCGUCUGUUGUUGAUGUCCAAAUAUCCUCUGAGUCUUGUACAAUGCAUGGUUAUAAUUCCUGCACUACAGCACCUUAUUUUUGGGACAUAAACUGAUUUCAUUAGAAGCCCCAACAUAGGAGCACAAAGAAACAGUAGUCAUAAAGAGAAACAAAAUGACCAUAAUAACCGAUAGAGAAGCAACUAGACCUCAGAGGCAAGGCCAGACCCAGCUUCUAUACCGGACAAAAGCCAUACAUUAACUUGGAGUGGAUGAUAGGCCAUCAGAAACAAGGAGGGAGGUGGCCUGUUCGCCCAACUUUGCAGAACCAAUCGAAGCUGCAGCACGAGCAGCUCGAUUCUUCUCACGGAGGAUCCAUGUAAUAGCCCGAAAAAUUCAAGGUGGAUUUUCAUAUUUUAGUGAAAAAUAAUAUUAUGGUGGAGAAUGAUUAUGGGUAUUUUAUCAAGUGAUUUUGGAUUGAGAUUAGUAAAUUAACUGUGUUGAAUUUGAAGUUGGACAAACAUGACCAAAAUACUCUUAUGUGUGAAAAUUACCAAACUAUCCUUGUAGGCCAAAAAAAAAAAAAACAGAUAGAAGAAGAAUAUGAAACGUGGAGGGAAUCAAAUCAUCCUCCUCCCAUUCUUCCCCUCUUGCCUCAAGCUUCCAAAUUUGCAAUUAUGAAAAUGGUGAGUCACCUAUUCGAAAUUGAUGACUCACCUAGCCUAAGAUUCCUUAAUGUAUUCUCUUCCUCCCCAUUCAUUGUAUUACCACUCUAAAUUGAUGACUGACCUCUAAGAAUCUUCAAUCAUGAAAUUAUUCUUAUCCUCAUCAUUCAUUGUAUGAUCCCUUUCUUCCUCUUUCACAUAUUUUCAUCCCUAUUCUUCUUUUGUUCUUCUUCAAAAAUUCAAAAAAAUUCGUCACUUCCUUGGAGCAUCUGAGAACUCAAAUUUAGAGAGCUCAAAUAAGAAAACUUCCUUCAUAAAAGUUGUUCAUUUACGUGAUUCCUGUAACAUACUCAAUUUUCACCUCAAUCCGAUUAGUAUAGCCUCCAAAAGGUUGGUAUGAUCAGAGUAUGUUUACCAUUUUCUGAUUUCACAGUAGUAUGCUCGGUUUCAGAAUAUUUCUAUGACUUCUUGUACUCAAAUGGCUUUGGUUCCUUCAUCAAAGUUGUUCAAAAUUCUGUCUACUAUAACAUAUCAAAAAUUUAGGUUGAUCGGACUUCUAUAGCCACCUUGGGAAAGUUUAGAGUGGAACUUGUACUUUGAUUAUAUUGAAUUUCUUGUUAUAGAUGUGUACUUUCUCUCAAAUGGUUUGUUACUUGUCUUUCAAUUGAUAAAAUUAGCCACUAUCAUCUCAAGUAAAUGAUUCUUUGAAGGUAUAAAGCUCAUUUUCUUAUUGUCUCUUUGAGUACUAGUUAUAAAUCAAGUGUUGGUUAGAGUACCACAAUGACAUAUAUCUCUUUCAAAGUGUGUUUCUGUGAAAUUCUAGAUUAUUUCGAUGAGAUUUUGUACCAAUUUCAUUCUAGGAUUUUGUUAUAUCAAAAUUCAUAUCUCAAAGUUGGUUUUGUGCCAUUAAUUUAAAUUGAGUUUUUUGUGAAUUUUCAAAGUAGAGACUAUGUUGUUGGAAUUGUUUUUAUUCUACCGCAUGCCAUGUUUGAGUACAUGUUUGAAAACUUCCUGAACUUGGAUUUUCAUGAAAUUUUAAUAUGUUUUACUUUCACGUAUUUUCUUCAAAUCUAGAAAGUUUUAUCCAUUUUGGUUGUAAAUUGAAAUUUGGGUGAGUUUUCAAAAUAAAGUGUACAAACCUUAAAAAAAGAACAUUUUGCAGCCUAGUCUGUUUUGGUUUCAAUUUUGAAUGCUUCCUUAACCCUAAUUUCCAUCAAAUUUUGACAUUUUUCAUUUUUCUAUGUCUAGUUGUAAUAUGAAAUUUUUUAUAUUAUUUUGAUUUAAACUCAAUAUUUGGUGAAUUUUUAAAGUUAACGUGUUCCAACCUAAAUGUUUAGCAAAACUGAAAUUUUUGUUUUAAAUUGAUGUUUUAAAUUUUCUUUAUGAGUCUAGAGCCGAACCACCUGAUUUUAAACAUCACAAAGAGUAGAACAAUUAUAGCAGGGGAAUAGAUUGGUUUUUCCUUGACAAAGAGUAGAACAAUUAUAGUAGGAGAAUAUAUUGGUUUUUCCUUGACGCUUGGUUCUAAUGCUUGUUUGAACGUAAGGUUAAGGGAGUAAUGAUCGGGUCGAACAACUUGUCAAGUGUUUCUUGGGGCUUUAGGUCUACUUACUUUCAAGGACGAACCUGCACAAGGUUAAGCUAGCUGGACCUGAGAUUGUGCAGGAUUCAAGGCGAAGUGUGAGGAAGCAGGUUUUCAACUGAGCUACUAGGCUUUUGUUGUUGAUUUGUGUAAUUAACAUUUAUAAGUAGUCAACCGUUUGAUUAAGAUCUUAGUGUGUAAUUAAUUACGAGCUACUGCGACUCUGAUUCUGUGUUGUUAAGUAAAUUUGUAUUUAUUUGUGGCUCUUUUUCUUAUCA